rnacentral:rRNA from 1 species
UUACCUACGGGGGGCAGCAGUGGGGAAUAUUGCGCAAUGGGGGAAACCCUGACGCAGCAACGCCGCGUGAGUGAAGAAGGCCUUCGGGUUGUAAAGCUCUUUAAUCAGGGACGAAGAAUGACGGUACCUGAAGAAUAAGCUCCGGCUAAAUACGUGCCAGCAGCCGCGGUAAUACGUAUGGUGCAAGCGUUAUCCGGAUUUACUGGGUGUAAAGGGAGCGCAGGCGGCGCGUUAAGCCUGGUGUGAAAGCCCGCGGCCCAACCGCGGGACUGCAUUGGGAACUGGCGCGCUGGAGUGCCGGAGGG